rnacentral:rRNA from 1 species
UACGUAGGGUGCAAGCGUUAAUCGGAAUUACUGGGCGUAAAGCGUGCGCAGGCGGUUUUGUAAGUCUGUCGUGAAAUCCCCGGGCUCAACCUGGGAAUUGCGAUGGAGACUGCAAGGCUAGAGUUUGGCAGAGGGGGGUAGAAUUCCACGUGUAGCAGUGAAAUGCGUAGAGAUGUGGAGGAACACCGAUGGCGAAGGCAGCCCCCUGGGCCAAUACUGACGCUCAGGCACGAAAGCGUGGGGAGCAAACAGG